UAGCUGAGUAGACAUGGGUAACUUGUGCCU
rnacentral:piRNA from 1 species